rnacentral:tRNA from 1 species
GGAGCUGUGGCGCAGUGGGUUAACGCCCUGGCCUGAAAUGCCAGCAUCCCAUAUGGGCUCCAGUUCGAGUCCCAGCUGCUCCA